CAAAACCCCAAUAGGAUUGCUAAACCCCAACACUGACUCAUUGCCAAACACACCAUUCUGGGUUUUGAAGGUUUCUGAGUCCGCCGCACCUGCAUUUCCAACUUCUGAUUCAAGCUCCUGAAUUCGGCAAAUGAUUGGUCAAAUGUCGAUUUAAACUGUAUACAUGCUUGAAAAGGAGCCCACCGAUUCUGGUAGCGACGAUGACGACGAGUGGUUCAGUCCCGAUGCCAUCAGGAAGAGGGUUGAUGAGUUUCAGAGGAAGUUCACGCGACACGAGGAAUUGCUCAAGAAUUUCACACAGGCUGGAUUCAUCUUCUUCUGUUUCAGAUUCCAUCUAAAUGAAAUUUUAGAAACAAUGCAACAUAGACAAUUGGAAAUGCUGAAGCUUUAAAUUUAUGAUUAUUUGUGUUAUGUGUAAUUAUUGUCUGUUUAGUUCUCCACGGCAUGCGGACUAGGAGAUAAUCGAUUUGUGUAUAACCUCUACUUGGUACUUAUUGUCUGGUUGUCGGUUCAGGCUUGGUUUUCUCAUUUGCAGUUAUUUGGGAGCUCUCUCUUCUUAGUAAUUGAUACGUAGACACACAGAAAGAAAG